UGCAAUGGCAGUACCACGUUGUAUAAAUAACUGUCAGAAAAAGCCUGGUUUGUGACUUUUCCUCCUGUGCAUACAAGCAACUGGGUAGCCUGCUGUAUGCAUGUCACAUAAAGUGCCCUUGGGUCUUGAGGCUGGGAACAGAGAAACAGGAGGGAAAUAUGUUGGAAAUUGGAAGAAGCUUACAAAAGACUCACAGUAGUCACUGCUGGAAAACAUCUCAGCAAAACAGAUGGAACCUGAAAUCAAUCAGACAAAUUGGAUCAGAUGUCUGAAGGACAAGCCAACCAAACUUCUUUGUAAGAUUGUUUGCUCUUGCAACUCUCUGUGGAAAAUUGUUCUAUGCUUCAGUGCUUUGUACUGCUCAGAAACUUUCUGCUUUUCUGCCAGUGAGCCCUCUGUUCAGGGCCAAUUUACAUCUAGCUUUAUUGUGCUGUUUAUUAUCUUGAUGUAUUCAUAACCACGGCCCCAGCAGGCAUUUGUUUUUCAGCCUAUAAAGCCUAGCAAAAGUAAUCUUGUGUGCGUGUGGUUCUAAAGAAGUGCCUUGUUUAUUCUGGUGACAAUAAAACACAAACCAAAGCUACAGAUCUGGA